GAUGAACGCUGGCGGCGUGCCUAAUACAUGCAAGUCGAGCGAACAGAUGAGGAGCUUGCUCCUCUGACGUUAGCGGCGGACGGGUGAGUAACACGUGGAUAACCUACCUAUAAGACUGGGAUAACUUCGGGAAACCGGAGCUAAUACCGGAUAAUAUAUUGAACCGCAUGGUUCAAUAGUGAAAGACGGUUUUGCUGUCACUUAUAGAUGGAUCCGCGCCGCAUUAGCUAGUUGGUAAGGUAACGGCUUACCAAGGCAACGAUGCGUAGCCGACCUGAGAGGGUGAUCGGCCACACUGGAACUGAGACACGGUCCAGACUCCUACGGGAGGCAGCAGUAGGGAAUCUUCCGCAAAGGGCGAAAGCCUGACGGAGCAACGCCGCGUGAGUGAAGAAGGUCUUCGGAUCGUAAAACUCUGUUAUUAGGGAAGAACAAAUGUGUAAGUAACUAUGCACGUCUUGACGGUACCUAAUCAGAAAGCCACGGCUAACUACGUG
rnacentral:rRNA from 1 species